rnacentral:rRNA from 1 species
UACGUAGGGUGCAAGCGUUGUCCGGAAUUAUUGGGCGUAAAGAGCUCGUAGGCGGUUAGUCGCGUCUGCUGUGAAAACUCGGGGCUUAACUCCGGGCCUGCAGUGGGUACGGGCUGACUAGAGUGCGGUAGGGGAGACUGGAAUUCCUGGUGUAGCGGUGAAAUGCGCAGAUAUCAGGAAGAACACCCGUGGCGAAGGCGGCUCUCUGGGACGGUACUGACGCUGAGACGCGAAAGCGUGGGGAGCGAACAGG